rnacentral:lncRNA from 1 species
AAAAAAAUAAAAAAGAAAAACACAUAUAAGGUUGUCUUGGAAUAGGGAAACACAUUUUUACUGUGACACCCUCAAAUUCGGGUUAUUUUUAACUCGAGUUUGGUGCUCACGAUACUAAUAUACUCAUUCAUACUAAAAGAAAACUGUCUUAUAUUACAUAAACUUAAAUCCCAGGUUCCAUAGACUUUUACAUAACUUACAAACCGAAUAUCAUUACACAACAUAGUGCUAAUGGUGUUUAUUACAUUUACUACUUAAAUAAGCACAUGCGCUUAAUAAAAAACUAUUCAACAACUUUGCCCUUUCCUUUGUCUUUUUCAGAUGGACCAACAACCUCAGUUUUAACUGAAAACAUUAUAUUUAACGCAAGGGUGAGCAACAACUUGCUCAGCAAGGAAAUAAGCAGUUAAAUAUAAUGGAACAAAAAUAUUUAUAUCAAAGAGGUUACAAUGCAAUAGAUACUGAACAAUAUAAUUCUUUAAAAGUGUUGAGUAUAAAAAUCAGGCUAUAGCAUGUUGUAAGGUCAAAUGACCAAUGAACUCUGUACUAGAAUUAACAGUAAUAACACUGCAAUCCAUAGAUACAAACAAUUAUAAAAGCUAUUUUAUAUCCUAGACUCGUACUUUAGGGGAUCAGCCUAAGUACCUUACAUUGUGCACAAUAUAAUAGUCUAAUGACACUUUACAUGUCCUUCGAAAUCAUAUGUCCGGUACAAUGCCCCUAUAAAAGGGUUGUUCGUUCACAGCAUUAUAUAAGAAUCCAUACCACAACAAAAAUGGUUUGGAAAAUAUAAACUGAUAAUUUCAUAAAUAAUAUCAAUAUAUCUCAACAGUUGUCUAACCGAAGUAAUGGUAUUGACAUACUUUCAAUGUAAACUCAUUCAAGAUAGAAAAAUUCAAUAUACUAUUUUUUUGAAGCUGAUUGGAAUAAAAAAGGCUAUUUAACCUUAUAUUAAUCAUAAAUAAGGUGAGACAGUUCAGAAUUUAGAGAACCUGACCAUUGCAAAAUACUUGCUCAAUAAAGAGUACGAGUUAGAAAAUUGCCUUGUUUGUAGUCUAUUGUUAGGAUUUCAGCAGUGUUCUCACAAAUCCUACACAGUUAUUUACAUUAACAAGCAUGUUAGCCACAUAGCCAAGUCAUAUAGUUUGUAAGCUCACAUAUCACGUAGUUUCAGUGAUCAUGGUUGUAGUUAAAUUCCUAUAUUUGAUAUAUUUUUCAAAUAUCUCAUCUAUGCUCUUAUCAUAGCCAUUAUUCUCUUAAAUGGGGUCUAGUAUGAUAAUAACAUGCACACACAACAUAUAUAUAGUUUACAUCCUAUUAAGAUUUUAACACGAGUGAUUCAUGCCUUUUUUACAGAAAUUCUAGCAUACAAGAUGCUUUUGUAGCUUAUUUCAUGUUUUUUAAAGGUAUUUUCAAUUUGCAUGGUCAACUUUUGUUUAUCCCAUGAUUUAUAGCUUUUAUUUUCAUACUAAGGCAUUAAUUAUCUUUGUUUUUCUAUAUUAUACCAAAACAGCCCCUUUUUAGGUUAAAAUAAUCUCUUUCUAUAUCUUUUCAUUAGGUGUACCAACUGGUUCCUUGUUGUUCUUUUAUGCCAGCAACCAAGCUUGGCUUAGCCCCAUGAGGCUUAGCUAAGCUUGGUGUGGCCACUUUUGGCCUCAUAGCCCUAUUUUAAACCUGCCUUAGCCACAACAGUCUCAACCCAUCAAACAGGUACUGUUUUUGUAAUAUAAAUUUUAACUCCUAUACAGAUCAUUGUAAACACAUUAUCAGGCCAGUGCACAAGUUUACUUAGCUAUGAAAAUUACUUUCUAUGUCCAAUUUUCCUUAGUUUAUCUUCAAUACUAAUUAACUAACUAUCCACAAUUGCCAUAGCAGUUGCUUGUUAUGCCCAGCUGCUGUUGCCUAAAGGCAGUAGCUCCUUCUUUUCCAAUCCUAUGUUCCUUUAAGUCUUACCAUGAAUCUAUAAUACUUCAUGAGGCAAUCAGUCAAUAAGGUUUGACAAUGAGGAGUUUAAUGCAGUUUAAAAUGUUUUUAAUUUUAACUGAGUUUAGCAAGCUUUACACUGCCUUAGCAGUUAGCUAAAUUAAAACCCAUUGCAAGAACUUUUAGCUGCCUAUUAUCUCAUCUUAACCUACUAAUUGUAGUGAAAAAGGAAGUAAACCCAGUUGCUAAAAUGUUCCAGCAACUAAUUGCUGCUGCUACAUGUUGUGCCGAAAGACAGCAGUUGCUGUUUGCAGCUAAUUACUGCUGCUGCUAAUAGCAGCAGCCCUUGCCCUUGCAUUAUGUCAUAAUGUAGUAUAAUAAUUAUUCACAACUAGUAGCCUUUCUAGUGCCUCGACUGUAAACCACCAAGAGUUCUAGCUAGUGUUUUUCAAACCUAUUACUACUGCUGUUUGCUGUUGUUGCUGCCAAUGGGUAGCAACUAUCAUUUCUUGACUAUUGCUCCAAAUAGCUUACUAUCUUUACAUACCUAUUUAAUUACCAUAAGCUUUUUGGUCUACUAUAAGUCUUGCAUUCACAUACUAUCAUGCUUCAUCAACUGCAAUAACUAAACAAAAGGGCAGGGACUUAACUGACUUCUUUUACUUUCAAUCCCAAGCAUGCUAGAUUCUUUUUAUCUGUGUGUUGUGGUAGUCACUGCUGUCAUAGGCAACAAUUCUUAAGCCUCUCCCAGCCCUAACUUUGUUAUAUUUAGUAAUCUUGCAACCAAAGUUAAUCUUGGUCCCCAUAGUAGUGUGACCUAAGUAUAACAUCAACCUACUAACAACCAUGCCAAGUUCCUAUCCUAACCUUUCACGGCUGCCUUAAAACAGUGUGCACAAGGGCUUGACAUGAUAACUAUUUCACAUUUGAUUUUAGCUAAGAUUUGUUUUUUACUUCUAUUUAGUGUGCUUAUACAUUUCAAUUUUUUUCCAUCUCUUGAAAUAAAAAAUCAAUUCCCAGCCUUAUGUUGGCUUAAUAAUUGAUUUUGGUAAGGCAAUCCACUUGGGACUUUCGUCGAGCAUGUGGUGUGCACAGUUUCAAUUUACUAGUGCCAUAGCUAUUUGCUUGUGUUAGAAAGCCAACUUUACCCUCCUUAUUUCUCCUCGGCCCAACUUAGCUCCUUGUGCCUAAGUUCAGUCCAUACUAUCAUAGCCAUAGCAUAGUAGUCAAUUUAAUACAACAACUUAAUAUAUCAACACCUAUCAUGUUAACAGUCAGUCAUGAUAGCAACAUAGCAUGUCCUUCAGUUAGAUCCUACAGCAGUUUUACAUAGCAGCUCAAAAAUCCAUAUAACAGUCUUUGAGUUUAUAUCAAAACUAAAUAGGCAAGGUUCAGUACUACAUCAUCAAAAUAGUCUAUAUAGAGUUAUAGACAUGGUUUAAUACCCUUGCAUCAAAACAGUACCAAGGAAUGAGAUCUCUGUAUUUCUAAAGCAUGAACCUCUUACAUAUUAUAUGUUCAUGGUUUAAAACAUCUAAUAGUAAGGUUUUCAUGUUUUAGGCCAAAACAGUCCCUCUUGGUACAAGGUAGCAUGAUUUGAAAAACAACUAGAUAUCAAGGUAACAUGCUUAGGCAACAUGGAAACAAGGACUGUCUAUAAUUAAUAUAUUAGAAGCAAGGCAUGAUCAUCAUAAUAAAACUUCCAAUAACAGUCCAUAUAGCAUUGUCAUAGCACAGUAGUGAAUUUAAGACAUAACAGUCCCUCAUGCCUAUUCCAAGCUUUUUAGGCAAGGUUUUGACAUUAAAUCACCAAAACAGCCAUGAAGUUUACAACCCAAAGGUUUCCACAUCAUGUAUAUGCUAUAUAAUAUAUGUUGAUGCUUUAAAGAGCCUACAUACAAGGCUUUCAACUUUAGUUCAAAACAUCCCUUCAUAGGCUUCAAAUUAAUACAAGAAAGCAUGAUUUGGAAAAAUCUAGUUACCAAGAUAACAUGAUUAAGCAACAAGUAAACCGAAAUUGGUUAUUUACAUAAUAUCUAGUAGGUAUUUCUUUCAUCAAGAUGGCCUAUUUUAGCUACUUCUUAGACAGUCCAUGACCACACCUCUUUAGACAUUAACAUUCAUAUUGUGAAGCUUUAAAGUGUCCUCAUGAGAAGCUUUUAAAGAUUGAGGUAGUUAUCCCUAGUUAUAACACAGUAAGUAUACUAGAAACAAUUCAUAAAUAUCAUAAGAAAAGCUUCUAAUAACAGUCACAAGGAAGCUUACUAUUUCAGUCCAUUCUUACUUGCUUUGUCAAAGUGUUUAUCUAUCUUAGAUUGUCAGUUAUUUUGAGACAUGUUAAGGUCAAGCAUAGAGUAUACUUGUAUAAGCAAUUUGAUACUAGUUUCGACUCUAAAUCAUAGUUAAUAUUCAAAGUUACAAAAUUAGUCCUUAGCUUGGCAAUUUAUCAAACAUAUAGAGGGCAGUUUAUAUAUUUGCACUUAAUACAUAAUUCUUAGCUUAUUGACCCCAACCUUAUGGCUUAAAACAACAAGAAGCAUAGGACCAUACUAAACAGUCCCAAUCACAGCAGUUCCAAUAACAUUAAAGCAGUCAUUAUAUUGUAUUAAUUCCAAUAUAACAGCCACUCAUGCUACGUAGUCAUCAACAGUUCAGUUGCUACCCAUUAGAGAAACAGGAACGACUGGAAAAAGGAUUGGGGGCCAGAAUUGGCAUACUUUGUUGAUUCGAAGGUUACAAGUGGGUUGAGCUGUUCUGUUUCCUUUUGACCCUCUCAGCCGUAACUCUUCCAUUCUCACUCUGUAUGAGUGAUACUGUUAAUUUCUUUUGGGACUCUGCUAAGUGAUGAAGCUAAUUGGUUUUAGGCAAUGAGCUUGGCCUUUUAUAGCUGAGCUUAGCUUCUUCUACUGUUAAUCCUAUCACCCCUAGUUGGCCCCUACACAGCCAUCAUUUCUAGUCUAGCUCACAUAGUCCCUUCACAGCCACCCUAGUAGACCUUAGACCUUAGCUUACUUGAUAUGCCUUAUCCUCUGCAAGUUUGGCUGACCUGUUAUUUGUCUCUAUCUAAGCUAACUUACCUGCUAACUAUAACCAAUAUCUUCUAAUUGCUUAAUCACGUUUGAACUGAAAUAGUUCCCUUUUUCUCCUUUCAAUGGGCUGCUGAAAUGGACCCUCAAUUAGGUAGAGUAUGGAUAUGGAAGUUGGGCCUCAUACAGAAGUAAAAUGCAUACUUCCAAGAAUUAUGUAGGAGGCUUGCAAGUAUAUACUUGGGUUGGCCCAAUUUAGGAAUAUUGGUCUUUUAAAGUAGGAUUAAUUACAUAUAGUAGUACCUUUUUAAAAAUAAUUACAAAAAUCAUACAUCCAUAAAAUAAUUACAAAAAUACUACAAUUCAUCAUUUUUAUUUACAAUACUAAUACAAUUAAAAGUCCUUAAAUUAAGGGAUUAGUAUUAAUGGGCUGACAUGACAAAUUAGUUUUCAUCUUCCUCAAACAUUCCUUUCUCUUUCGGUCUCUCUCUCUCUGCCCUUAAUUCUCGUUCGGUUUCUCUCUCUCCGCCCUUACUACUUCUCUCUCUCAUCUUGAAGCCAUUCGUCGUCAGCGGACUGAAUCUACUUCUUUAGACGAUGGAGUUCUUGCUUUGGUAGAACCGUCUCCUUUUGGAAUCUACCAUACGGUAUGUUCAUGGUUGAAGUGUUGUUGUCAUACUAUGAAUCUGUACUUCUGGCGACAUUCUGUUUAUGUUAAUUUUUUUAUUGAAUGAAUUUUCCUUUAUCUCUAUGACUGGAUUAUUUGUGAUAAACAUCAUUUAACAGCAUAAUAUUUGCUAAAGUGGAUAAUUAUUUUCAAACUGUUUAGGCUCUUAACAUAUAUAUUUCCUGCCUAAUUUCAAUAAUCUUGGCUAAGACUUAAGUUAUUGUGUGAUUAGCUUUGAAGUUUACUUAAUAAGUUGUUUUAGAUGAUAACUUACAUUGAAACCACAAGAUAUCUAUAAAGGCGGUUGAUCUCUUUUCUUUCUGGUGCUUUAAAUUUAGUUUACUUGGAAAACAAUGGCAUUGUCGAUCUUUUUGACAAUUGAAAUUGGCCGUCAGUUUUUAGUUUACUUUAUCGUUCCUAUUUGUUAUGACCAGACCAAGUAAUAAUGAUCAUUAAUGUAUUUGUAAAUGGACUACUUUCAUUUGUGAUGAAUCAUUGCUGCACUUUGUUUGCAAAGGUGAUGAUUUUCUGCACUUAAGAAACUCGAGUAGCAGAAAUGAAUCUCAUCCUUUUUGCUUGAUAUGCAUGGUAGGAAGUAAUAUGAAAAAAAUGCGUUAUAGUUGGUUUCUAUACUUCGUAACCGACCACCCGGGUAUCCAAAAACCAAGCAUUUGCCUCAAUUUCCACCUUCAAUCAACAACAAAUUCCGGCCACGAAGAAUCGAGUCGUGUUGGGUGAGCUCACUAACUUGGUUAAUGUUGGUUUCGAUUUUGCUGAUAAGACUCAGACUCCCGAACCCAAAUUGAAAAGGAAAGUGAAAAAGGCUAUUUUGUUCAGAAGCCGACAUGAAGUUCACUUAUAAGAUUUGUAUCCUCCUACUUCCCAGCUCCUCAUCAACUCAUAAACCCAUGCACUGAUGAAUCUAAUAUCUUAACUAACUAUUUAGAAUAACUCAUUUCUUGAACUUAAGCUGUUGCUUUUAUGCUAUAAUCUCUCAUGAGUUUGCUGGAUAAGAUGUCUCAGUAAUGUUCGAUUUCAAAAUUUCACAUCUUUAUCAUUCAAAAAAUAUCUAAGAUGUGUAUUGAUUUUGUGAUUUCACCUUAUAAGCAUAGACUAAUAAAGUAUAUAGUCUCACAUUGGUUGAGGAUGGUUGGUAUGACACCUUAUAAGAAGUAUAUAGUCUCACAUUGGUUGAGGAUGGUUGGUAUGACACCUUAUAAGACUACCAGUUAUAAUCUUAUUUUUAUGCGGACUGUUGUAGUAUGAUACUAUGAACUACAUUAUACCUGCAUUAACCUAUUUUUAUCAAAUUCUGCUUUCAUUAUCUCCCAACUUACAGCUGGAAAAUCAAUAUUCGGAAGCCUUCUGUGUGACACCCCCAAAUCCGGGUUUUUCUUUAACUCGGGUUUGGUGCUCACGAUUCUAGAAUACCCAUUCAUACUAAAAGAAAACCGUCUUAUAUUACAUAAACAUCGUACUUAACUCCCAGGUUCUAUAGACCUUUACAUACGAUACAACCAAAUAUUAUUACAACAUAGUACUAGCAAUAUUUAUUACAUUAUAUUUAAAGCAAGGGUGAGCAACAACUUGCUCAACAAGAAAAUAAGCAGUUAAAUAUAAUGGAAAACACAAUAGAUACUGAACAAUAUAAUUCUUUAAGAGUGUUGAGUCUGAAAAUCAGGCUUUAGCAUGCUAUAAGGUCAAAUGACCAGUGAACUCUGUACUAGAAUUAACAGUAAUAAUACUGCAAUCCAUGAAUACAAACAAUUAUAAAAACUGUUUUAUAUCCUAGACUUGUACUUUAGAGGAUCAGCCUAAAUACCCUAUAUUGUGCACAACAUAACAGUCUAAUAACACUUUUCAUGUCCUUCAGAAUCAUAUGUCCGGUACAAUAUGCCCCUAUAAAAGGGUUGUUCGUUCAUAGCAUUAUAUAAGAGUCCAUACCAUAACAACAAAAAUGGUUUGGAAAACAUUAAUUGAUAAUUUCAUGAAUAAUAUCAAUAUAUCAACAGUUGUCUAACCGAAGUAAUGGUAUUGACAUACAUUCAAUGUAAACUCUUUUAAGAGCAAAAGUUCCAUAUACUAUUCUUUUGAAGCUGAUUGGAAUAAAAAGGCUAUUUAACCUUAUACAGAAAUGAUCAAGUAAAGAAUCUCUUACUUUCUUAAAAUGAGGGACUUUUUUUUUUUUGUUUUUUUUUUAAAACUAAAAAAAAAAGUUUAAUAUUUUAUGGAACUGAAAUUUUUUCAUAAUACAAUGUUUUGGGCGUGUUUUAAAUACCUAUACCAAAAAGUGGUGGUACAGUCUGCCCAGUCUGUACAUACAUGUUUUGUUAUACAUACUCAAAUCACACCCAAAACACUGUAUUAUGAAAAUAUUUCAGUUCCAUAAAAUAUUAAACUUUUUUUUUUUAUUUUUGUUUUUAAAAAAAAAGCAAAAAAAAAAAAGUCACUCAUUUUAAGAAAGUAAGAGAUUCCUUACCUGAUCCUAACCCUAACCCUAACCUUAUAUUAUUCAUAAACAAGGACAGACAGUUCAGAAAUUAAAGAACCUGUCAACUAUAGAAUAGUUGCUCAAUAAAGAGUAAGAGUUAGAAACUUGCCUUGUUCAUAGUCUAUUGUUGGGAUUUCAGCUUAAUUUGAAGUGUUCACACAAAAUCCUACACAGUUAUUUAUAUUAACAAGCAUGUUAAUCACAUAGCUAAGUUAUAUAGUUUGUAAGCUUACAUAUCACAUAGUUUCAGUGAUCAUGGUUGUAGAUAAAUUCUUAUUUUUGAUACAUUUUUCAAAUAUAUGCUUACAACAAGCAAUAGGAAUCACAUUAUCAUUAGUAUUUAACCAAGUAUGUUAGCCACAUAUUUAAGUCAUAUAUCAUGUAUGGUCAAUCUAUAGUCUUCCUCAUAAUUUAUAGAUUCAUUUUGACACACUAAUUCAUCAAUUAUCAUUGUUUUCUUCUAAGAUGCUAAAACAGCCCAUUGAGGCUUUAAUAUUUUCUAUGUAUGACUGCACUACCAACUGCUACUGCUAUUGUUGCUGUGCUGUCAACUAUUAUUUUCUUGCAUACCUAUUACCAUAAGCUGUUUGGUCAGGCUACAAGUGCUGCAGUCACAUGUCAUCAUGCUACAUCAAUUAUAGUAAAUAAACAAAAGUGCAUGAACUUAACUAACUAACUGCAGCCCAAAGAAAACAAACUCAGUUGUCAAAAUGACAAUGCAGUCAUUUACUUGAAGUUGCCAAGGACAGCAACUAUCCGAAGCCAUUUGCUACUGUCAUUAGCAGCCUCCCCUGCUCCUUAAUUCAUUUCCAGCAAUCCUCUAACCUCAGUUUUGUUAGAUUUCUAGGAACAGACCUCUUGACUAUAAUCUUUUAGAGUUUUAAAGUUAUCCCAAUUGGCCUAUCAAAGGGAUAUUAAGCUUUGGCUCCUUGGUUCAGUUACUGUUUUAACAGAGUGGGCAAAUGAGUUGUCAAGCUAAUAUUACUUAGCCUAAAAACUGCACUAUGCUAAGAUUUUACUAUGCCAAAACAUUACAGUCAUCACAUAUAUUGGGUAAAUCAAGUAAAUAGUUUACUUGUUCUACUAUCUUAGCCAUAGCAUGUCAGUUAUAUCCACACCUAUCAUUUUAACAGUCAGUUAUGAUAGCAACAUAGCAUGUCAUUUAGUUAGCAGUUUGCAUAACAACUCAAAAAUCUAUAUAACAGUCUUCGAGUUUAUAUUAGAACUAAAUAGGCAAGGUUUAGUACUACUUCAUCAAAACAGUCUAUAUAGAGCAUUAUAGACAUGGUUAAAUUACAUUUUUCUAUAACAGUCUCAGGUAUUCAAAAGCUCAAUUUGCAAGGAUUUUUACUUUCUAUAUAUGUUAUAUAUUCAAUAUACUUGGCAAAAAUUUCACUGGAUAUAGACUUAUUCCAAAUAGUUUUAACACAAAAUAGUUCAACAUCUCAACCAUGUAGUGACUGCAGCAGCACUGUGUGCCCAGCAGCACGCUGGUGCACCACUACAACUGCUGCUGCCAGCAGUUAUAUAUAUAUAUAUAUACAUAUAUAUAUAUAUAUAUAUAUAUAUAUAUCAACAGUCCCCCUUUUUGGUCAUUUUAUCUCAUACAAACCAAGGAUCCAAUCAAAGUCAGUUGUUGACAUAUUAUAGCUGGUAUAGCAACUAUUUUUCACAGAUUAUUAACACUCCAAACUGAAGUCUUAGAGAAAUAGAAAAAGGGAGUAAAACUAUCCAGUUUAUCAAAAACAGAGUUUUCACAUGACUUAACAUACUAAUUCUAACUUUUCAUUUUUAACAAGAAAUUAAGUUUCAUUCUAACUUGACAUACCUCAAACACUCUAAUUAUUACCACAUAUGUUAAAUGAUUCAAGUCCAUGCUUUACUUUGUUAUAACAGUAAAUUUUCAGUCAAAACAGUUCACAUAGUCCAAUGACAGUUGGUAAAGCAACACAGGUAAUGCUAGUAGUCAGUCAUCAUAGCAGUGUGUGUAGCAUAGCAUACCAGUCUAUUAUAAUAACAGUCAGUAUAACACAAGGAUGAUGCUAACAGUUAUUCACGUCUCUUUUAGGCCCUUUUAGCAAGGUUUAUUAAUAUACUGUACCAUCCUAAGCACAUGAACUCACUCUUUACAAUUAUAGGCAUACAUCUUAGUAGGCCAUGGUUUAAUUACCUUAUAUAAACAAGGUUUAGAACUAAAUUAUCAAAACAGCCUUUAAGUUUUCAAUCACAAGGAUUAUCACAUUAUGUUAAUGUUAUAUAAUCUAUGUUCAUGAUUUAAAGAGCCUAUAUAAAAGGCUUCUAGUUUUGGGUUUAAAACAGCUCUCUUUUAGGAUUAAAUUUCAAGAAUAAACAUGGUUUACCCUCAUGUUUCCAAGGAUAGCAUGAAUAUGCAAUAUAAAAGCUUAUACCAUCUUUCUAUAUGGUAUUUAACAUGUAUAGCAUAUAUUUGGAUGUCAUAGAAUAGAUUACACCAUAACAGUCCUCUAAUCUAGCAUACAAGAUUCUUUAGACAGUAACUCAGUAUAGUCGAAUGCUUAGUUCAUGUAUGGACUGAUAUACAACCACUUAUAGUCAUCUUAUGUUCAUGUAAAACUGAACUAUUAGCACCUUUGUAUCUUUAGGACUACAAUAUAAUAUUGGCAUAGGAUUAGUCCUGUUUGAACUCCCAUUCAACACAUUUGACACCAACUGCCCUCUCAUGAGCAUUUCAUCAUACAGUUGGUGUGCAGUCUCUACUUUUCAUCAUAUUACAUAUGUUAUUAGCUUAGUGUUACUAGCCUUAUGGCUUUAAAACAACAAGAAGCAAAUAGCAAAACUUAGCAGUCCUAAUCACAGCAGUUCUCAUAGCAAUUAAAACAGUCAUUAUGCUAAUUAAUUCGAUAGCCAUCCUAACCAUUUAUCAGUCCAGUUGCUACUCGGAACGGAUGGAAAAGAUUAGAAAGGCCAGAGUUGGCUUACCUUGCUGAUUCGAAGGUUCUCAGUGGUUGGAGCUGCUCGGUUUCCUUUUCUCUCUCAGCCGUAACUCUUCCACUCUCACUAUCAAUCGGCCCUUUCUUUUCCUUUCUUACUAUGCUAGAGACUUGGUAAGUCAGUUAAAGGGGUGGGACAUGAGGUUAAAUAGCCGAACUUUUCUUUCUCUGGUCAUACCAAGCUCUGCCCCUAGCCGGCCCCUUCCAGCCUCCCUACCAAGCUGAGUGUAAUCAUUACUAGCCUAUUUCCUUUGGCUCCUUCCAGCCACCCUAGCGAGCAUAGCUUUUCUCCUAUACGCCUUAUCCUCUGCAAGCCUAUUUCACCUGCUACACCUUAUCCUUUGCAGUUCUGUCUUACCUGCUGGUUGUCUGCUAGCUAAACUAGUUUACCAACUAAUAACUAACUUAGACUCUGCAAAUGCUUGCUACCUGACUACAUAUUCACGUUAUGCCACUGAUUUUUUUCUUAUUUAGUUUAAAACAG